ACGGCUCAGUAACACGUCGAUAAUCUUACUUAUGGUCUGGAAUACCCUCGGGAAACUGAGGCUAAUACCAGAUAGGGGAUUGCUACUGGAAUGUGCUUUCCCUUAAAGGCAACGCCAUAAGGUGAGUCGGCGGCUGAUUAGGUAGUUGGUGAGGUAAUGGCUCACCAAGCCAAAGAUCAGUAGGGGGGAUGAGAGUCCUAGCCUCGAGAAGGACACUGAGAAAAGGGUCCUAGCCCCAAGGGGUGCAGCAGGCGCGAAACCUUUACAAUGCACGAAAGUGUGAUAAGGGGAUUCCAAGUGCUUACCUUCUGGGUGAGCUUUUGUUAAGCUUAAAAACCUUAGCGAAUAAGUGGUGGGCAAGACCGGUGCCAGCAACCGCGGUAACACCGGCGCCACGAGUGGCGAUCAUAGUUAUUGGGUCUAAAGCGUCUGUAGCCGACUAAGAAAGCCCCUUGUGAAAUUGUUAGGCUUAACUUAACAACGUGCAAAGGAUACUUCUUGAUUAGGGACCGGGAGGAGGCAAAGGUAUUCCUUGGGAAGCGGUAAAAUGUUUUAAUCCUUGGAAGACCACCUAUGGCGAAGGCAUUUGUCUAGAACGGGUCCGACGGUGAGAGACGAAAGCUAGGGGAGCGAAACGGAUUAGAUACCCGUGUAGUCCUAGCUGUAAACGCUGCAGACUAGGUGUGACAUGUUUUCCGAGAACAUG
rnacentral:rRNA from 1 species